rnacentral:tRNA from 1 species
GGGGAUUUAGCUCAGUGGUUCAAGCGCUUGCUUGGUAAGCAUGAGGUCAUUGAGUUUGAUCCCCA